rnacentral:rRNA from 1 species
CCUACGGGAGGCAGCAGUAGGGAAUCUUCCGCAAUGGACGAAAGUCUGACGGAGCAACGCCGCGUGAGCGAAGAAGGUCUUCGGAUUGUAAAGCUCUGUUGUUAGUGAAGAACAAGUACCGUUCGAUGAGGGCGGUACCGUGACGGUACCUAACGAGAAAGCCACGGCUAACUACGUGCCAGCAGCCGCGGUAAU